UUAGGUAAGAAGUUGCAUUAUAACUCAUAAUCGCUUGGUCGCUGGUUCAAGUCCAGCAGGGGCCACCA
rnacentral:tRNA from 3 species